rnacentral:rRNA from 1 species
UACGUAGGGCGCAAGCGUUGUCCGGAAUUAUUGGGCGUAAAGAGCUCGUAGGCGGCUUGUCACGUCGGGUGUGAAAGACCGGGGCUUAACCCCGGUUCUGCAUUCGAUACGGGCUGGCUAGAGUGUGGUAGGGGAGAUCGGAAUUCCUGGUGUAGCGGUGAAAUGCGCAGAUAUCAGGAAGAACACCUAUGGCGAAGGCAGCUCUCUGGGACGGUACUGACGCUGAGACGCGAAAGCGUGGGGAGCGAACAGG